CUGAGAACCUAGCGGAGGCCCCUCUUAACCCGCGCGGGGUGGACCGCGAUUCCUCACUGAACUGAGCCGUCUUUGGUAUAGAGAACUGUUUCAAGAGUAAACGAAAAAUGUAAAUUUCAGCCUGAAAAGAAGCAAGGACAAGAAAGGGCUUUCUUGAUCACUGACACUCGGGGAGGUUAAGGAUGCAGGUUCUCCUCCCUCAAGUUGGGAAUUACUGCCAUGUGGGCUCCAGGAGCUUCCCUGACAACUUGGAUGAUGUUACGCCCUCACCAUCGCCUUUGGAGAUAACGCUACCCCCAAUUCACUUCACCUCUCUCCCUUUAUAAGAUUGUGAGGCCAAGGCAAAAGGAUCUUGUCAGUCUUAUCAGGAUCACCAAGACCGAGGACAGCCACAGAAGAGUUCAAUAAAUAUGCUUAACAAACAAAAA